GAUAGCUAUCCGGGUUAUGGCUUAUGGAUCGAUAUUACGAUCAUCCAACUUUAUAUUCAUUAGUAAAAUGUGUUCAUUUUCGUCGUCCUCCAGUUCUCGUGAUAGGGAUUUGGAAGUUUUAAUGCAAUUACCCGAUUGGGAUAGUGAAGUUGUUGGUGAUAUAUCAUCUACAAUUGAUAAGCUAGCUUACGAGUAUGUUUUUAUACACCAACAGAGUACAGAAAAAUUACAUGAAAUUGCUGGAUUUCCUCGAAUUGUUGCCAUUGAUUGCACUCAUUUACGAAUUCAAUCAUCAUGUGACGUAAUUGGUGAAUAAUAUCCUAAUUGAAUAGGAUAUUUCUCUUUAAAUGUACAGGCUGUGUGUGAUGCAGAAAUAAAAUUUAUUAAUGUUGUGCCCCAUGGCCUGAUGCCGCUCAUGAUGCAACAACUUUUGUAAACUCAGUUCUACAAGUUAAAUUGAUUGAUAAGAAGCUAGAACUUGAUAAAUGUGCCAACUAAAUUAACAGGUAUAUUUGUUUAUAGCUUAAUAUCAUACAGGUCUACUGAGAAAUCACUGGAUGGUUGUUAAUAGUGCUUACUCAAAUAUACCAUAUUUAUUAACACCAUUUCUCUGGCUGACCAGAGAUAUGAUGAAGUACACAUUAAGAAUAGGAAUACUAUAGAGAGAAUAUUCGGAGAAUGGAAAUGUCGCUUUAACAUUGUAUUAACCACUAGCUAAAGUUCAAGCUAUUAUUAUUGCCACAGCUGUUAUGCAAAAUAUUUGUAAGGGUUAUAAUUUGAAGAUAUACCGGCAGAAGUUUUAGUUCCAACACUUGAUACAAUUUCAAGUCAAGAAGUUAAUGAAGGAAAUCAAGACAUAACUGAAAGAACAAGCCUUAUUCAUUAUUAUUUUUGGAAAAUUAAUAUAAUUCUAGCAGAAACAAACAUGUUGUAUUUAAAUGUCCUUUUGUACAUAUGAAAUAAGAGAAGAAAUUCAGUUAAAAUUUUAAUAAGUUAUGUAGUUAAUCUACCUAUA